UACGUAGGGUGCAAGCGUUACUCGGAAUUACUGGGCGUAAAGCGUGCGCAGGCGGUUGUGUAAGUCAGAUGUGAAAUCCCCGGGCUCAACCUGGGAAUUGCAUUUGAGACUGCACGGCUAGAGUGUGUCAGAGGGGGGUAGAAUUCCACGUGUAGCAGUGAAAUGCGUAGAGAUGUGGAGGAAUACCGAUGGCGAAGGCAGCCCCCUGGGUCAAGACUGACGCUCAUGCACGAAAGCGUGGGGAGCAAACAGG
rnacentral:rRNA from 1 species